UCGAGUGCAAAAAAAUACAUGCAUACAUAUAAAAUAAAAAGCACAACAAAAUAACCGACAAACGAAAAGCGCAAAACUGUUACAAGUUCAACUAGCGAGCACAAAAACGCGUCGAGCGCCGUAUUCACAAUUAAUAUAUAACUAUAUAAAAAAAAAGCACACGCGUUUAAUAUGCGACUAGGUCCAUUUAUGAUAUGGCUGCUGUUAUUGUUAUUGGUGGCGGUUGUCCAGCAAAGCUCCUGCAGCUCAUUGCCGGUGCGUAGACGUGACAUGCGACACUCGGGGAACGCGGCGCCAAGCAUUAUCCAGCUGCUCGUCGCCUUGAUCGGCAAAUUGUAGCCAAUGCAUCAACUUUCAGAUACUCGGCGCAGCCGUCAACUGCUUAAACAAAUUGAUCGCAAGAAUUUCGAGUGUGUGUUUCUACCAAAGAGAAAUAGUUAAUGUAAAUUGUAAAUGUGUUAAUAUUGUUUUUAGAGUAUGAUUGUUGGUUAUGGGAUCGAAUUGUCUUGUCGUUCCCCAAGACCAUUCCACUACUCACAAGCAAGGUUACUUCAACUCGAGUUGUUUUGCUUAAUAUCGCACAACUCUAACACUUAGUUGAGAAAAGCGAUGUUUUAAUUUAAAGAGAUCGCAAAAGACCACGUACCAGCGAAAUCUCUUUAAUAAUUCAUAUUUCCGUCACUCUUUUUUGUUGUAUGUCUUGUGCGGUUUUUAUUUGUAAAUUUGCUUGUUAUUAGUUGUUAGUUGGGUUUUUUUUGUUUUUAUAUUCAUGAAUGAUAUUGUUAUUAAGUUUUGAAUUUGUUUUUUUACAUCGAAAUUGCUGACCUACAAAAGUUAUUAUUGUUUAACAUCGAAAUUGCUGAUGAUCUAUAAAAAAGUUCUUGUUUAGCAAUUAUUUUUUAAAAUGUAUAAAUAUUUCGUAAAUGCAUAU